UCCGAUAUGGUGUAGUGGCCAACAUGAUGCCCUCUCAUGAAUUUGAGAGGUUAGGCAUAGCCCCGAGUUCGAUUCUCGGUUUCGGAA